UCAGAAGGAGGGGACGGGCUCAGCUGCUCCCAUGCAGGCUGUGCAGCGCAGGGAUCUGGCGAGCUAUUUGCCAAGCACUUUCUUGGCUGCUCAUAGUACUUUUCCCCCUUUUUCUCUUUGUGGGGCUUGAUAGGGGGCUAUUUAAAAACAGCGACAGCAAAUCAGAUGCGGCCAAGCAAAAGGCGUUUACUUCGCCUCCAGUGGCUCGAGGUGCAAAAAUCCUCCACAAGCACUGUUUUCCUUUUAAUCUAACACCGCGUGGAAUAAAGUGUAGUUUUCUCGGGUGAACCUCGGGAACAUUUGCGGUGGUGGAAACAGGGGAUGAUUCGAGGAAGGUGGAAAUGCAGAUCAAUUGGGAAAUAGCGUCUGCAGGAGGCCUCAUCUGGUGACAUCUUCAUACAUGAUGCUCUCUGCUCUCAAAACACCAGCGACUCCUUGGGAUCAGCGUGCAGGUGAUCGCAGCGAGUGGCAGAGAGAGAAAUCGACCCAGCCCACAGUCCUAUUGCUCUUAUCGAGACACACUUUAGCAGCCUACCCUGAGCAACCUGAAGACACUGCGUUCAGCUACUCAACACAUGAAAACAUUUAAUAAAAUACAGAGCAUUUACCCACCAUGAAAAACAGUGUGUGUAAUUACCCUCCUAGGAAUUUUUGCAUAUUAGUAAAAAAGAAGUUAUGAUAAGUACCUUUUUUUCUCUGCUUUCUGUUCCUACAACCAGACCUGUUUUACAUGAAGGAUCAGGGAUGUCAGUAAGAAUGAGGCGCCUGCUCUUAAUCAUCGGGACAAAUACACCAUUAACUACACCAUUCAUUCUCCUGAAUCUGCAUUGAGUAUGGUAAACUCUGCUCAUUACCCAAGCAGAUGCUUUAAAAGCCAGACUGGAUGGGAUCAAAGGCCAGAGAGGGAGCGAGAGAGACGGGCUCUCUGGCUCCCACUGCUUCAGCUCAUUUUCAUUAUCCUACACACCGACCGAAAUAGCGAUCACAUUAUGCAUUAACGCUUUUAAAAGCUUCUCUCGUUCUCUGCCGGCCUCUUGAACACCGCUAAAUAUUGGAAGAGUUUCGUUGUGUUCCCAAAAUGACUCAGGAAGCCGGUCAACAGCCCAGCAGGGAUCCAGCGGUAGCAUCGCUUGAUUUGAUCUUUAGACAUAGACCUAUCACGACCCAGUAGGACGGCAAUAAAGAAGAGUUAAGGCAUGUGUGAGCGUACACACAAGCACACGUACAUAUGGAGAACACUUUAAGGAGCACAUCGUAGUAUGCUUGUGUCAGGGAAAAAAUGAGAGAUAAAUGUGUGUGUGUGUGUGUGUGUGUGUGUGUGUGUGUGUGUGUGUGUGUGUGUGUGUGUGUGUGUGUGUG